UGAAAAAUGAAAAAGAAGAAACCCAGCUUGAAAAGAAAUUUUAGGGCCUUGAGGAAAAGUUCAAGGCGGUCUCUAAACCCUUCCUUGAUGAGAUAGCCUGUCUGUCUGUUGCAUGUAUUAAGGUGGCAGAGAGAUCUUCACAUAAGUCGGAGGAAAUGUAGCUGUAAAGCUGGGAACACUUGGAUUCUGAGGAGUCUCAUAACGUUGUUAAACUUAAAAAGUGAGAAAAAGAAUGAGAUAAAAAUCCUCAAAAUGUUCCUGAGUAUUGGUUGAUUUUUAAAAAACCAUAUAUUGGAAAGCACAAGACUUUGAUGACAAAACACAAUGACCCUCUUCUGAUGGUCUUCAGAGAUGUGGAGGGGGAGUGACCACACCUUGGCUCAGAUGGCAGGCGCGUAUUAGAAUUUCACUUUGAGCACCGUAGCUACAGCCUGACCAUUCUCUGCUGUAGUUGGGACCUGGCAUGUCCCCUGAUGGCCUAUGUGUUGAAGGCGCGGUCACCAGCCUGUGGUGCUACUGGCAGAGGUGGGGCCUACUGGGAGAAUGUUGGGUCAUGGGAAGGGGUGCUUUUGAGGGGAUAUUGUGGGACUUCAGCCCCUUCCUGUCUCUCUUUGCUUCCUGGCUGCCAGAAAUGAGCAGCCACCUGUGCCACACAUUUCUGCCACACUGUACUGCUUUACUACUGUUGCAGAAAUCUCGGAAAGAAAUACACAGAGACACAGAAUUUGGAUAAAAUAAUAAAAUUUCUUCUUGCGAGUGGGCGGAAUGCCAGAAACCAGUCUGUCUUUCCUCAAGGCAGAAGAGCAGAGCUCAUGAAAACGAGUCUUCAUCCAAGACUGUGCUGUGGUUGGAACUUAAUGAAUGCGCUUUUGAAUCUCAGAAUGGGCCUGACUCCUCUCAGGAGCCACUGGGCACCAAGGAAACAGGCAAACUGCAAGACUGAGCUGGCAACCGGGACACCACAAUUGUUGAGACUGGAAAGCUACCUUUAAAGACCUGGCAAGGGUUCUGGAUAGCCACAUUAAUAAUCAACGAAGCAGGUUGCAGACUUUCAACUAUUCUACUUCAGAG
rnacentral:lncRNA from 1 species